CUGAUGGUCCGCUUUCUCCAGUUGAGGCGAGCCGGGCGCGGGCCGGCCCUGAGCUGAGGACGACGCCGCCAGGGGGCGAAGGCGGCCUACUAGCAAGAUCAAGGCCUGUGAGGCACAGAAAGUCAACCUCACUUAAAAGAUUUUAAAAAGAAUCCUUGAUCGAAAUUUCACAAUUCCAGUCUCCUGAAGCAGGCCCUCUGCCCAAGGGCUUUCUACCGUGGUCACAGUCCAUAUACGAGAGAACUGAGCCUCGGGGAGUGGAAGUGACUUACUCAGGGUCACCGAUGAGCAAGAACUAAAGCCCGUAAGACAGCCCUGACACUGACCCAGUUACCAGCUGGGUGACUUAAGCUAUGAAUGUAUGUGGCCUCAGUUUCUUCAGCUGUCAAGUGGAAGCAGCAAUACCAUGUUGUGGGAUCCGCUGGAAGAGUGAAGGACAUGAUGGGUGUCCAGAGGCAGGGCUGUGCCAAGUUAAGUCCUCAGUGUACCUUAGCUGAGGUUAUUUCUUUGUAAGCAGAAUUCAAUACAUGUCAUGGCAAAAA